GGACGGGGACGACAAUACGGACAAUGAUGAAAACUGAAGAAUCAACAUCCCCUUCAGCCUUCUGUAAGACUUUUGAUCAACCUUUGAAAACUUGCAGUGAAGAAAGGAUAAAUGAGUUAUUUUAUUGCUAUGAAAAUGGAAAAAGUAACUCUGAAAAAAUAUAUUUAGACAAUGUUGAGAGUGUAAUUGGCUGCAUAGUCAAAGGGAAGACUCCGAUGUCAAACAUCCAGCAUUUCAGAGGUUCAGUGGCAAAACACCAGCGAAAGAAUUUUACUGAUCAUCAGCGUGGUAUCCCCUCAAUGCAAGGGAAUAAUAAGGAAACAGAUGAUGUUCAUGUGCAAAUUCCUCAAGAAGCCC